AUUGAACGCUGGCGGCAUGCUUUACACAUGCAAGUCGAACGGCAGCGCGGGCUUCGGCCUGUCGUCGAGUGGCGAACGGGUGAGUAAUACAUCGGAACGUGCCCAGUUGCGGGUGAUAGCUCGGCGAAAGCCGGAUUAAUACCGCAUACGACCUUAGGGUGAAAGGGGGGGAUCUUCGGACCUUCCGCUAUUGCGCGAGCCGAUGGCAGAUUAGCUAGUUGGUGGGGUAAAGGCCUACCAAGGCGACGAUCUGUAGCUGGUCUGAGAGGACGACCAGCCACACUGGGACUGAGACACGGCCCAGACUCCUACGGGAGGCAGCAGUGGGGAAUAUUGGACAAUGGGCGAAAGCCUGAUCCAGCAAUGCCGCGUGUGUGAUGAAGGCCUUCGGGUUGUAAAGCACUUUUGGCGGGAACGAAAAGGACUGUGCCAAUACCACGGUUCGAUGACGGUACCCGAAGAAUAAGCACCGGCUAACUACGUG
rnacentral:rRNA from 1 species